rnacentral:rRNA from 1 species
UUUACCAGUAUUUUAUAAUCAGUAAUUAUAAAUAGCCGAUGUCUUAACGGGUAUUAGUUGGGAUUAAAUAUAAGUUAUUGAUAUUAAAAGUGACUAACAAUUUAUUGCUAAAAUUUAUAAUCAUAAAAUCAUAUGACACUUUAAUAUUUAAUUAAUUUAUUAUAUUCUUUAAUUUGUUUAGUAUUUAUAAAGAGGAGAUUAUUUUAUAAGGUUUAAUACCUUUUGCAUAAUGGAAUAACUAUAAUAUUGUUACACUUUAAAUUUCACGAGAGGGUAAGAGCUAAUUAGUUAAACUAUGUGCAUUUUCUUUAGGAACUUAUUGUACUUAUUUGUGGCAGUAAAUCAAAAAAAGUAAUAAUUAGGGGUGACAGGCCUAUCAGUUACCCUAAUAUCUUGAUGCUUAUUUAAAUGUAUUUAGUACAUAAUCAUAAGAUAGCUUUUUUAUGUUAAGGUAAAAAAGCUAAAGUAGUAUUUUAGUUUGCUAUUUCUAUUCAAGGUGAAAAGCCUUAAAUAGUAUACCAAAAAUAACAUAAAUUCUAAAAUAGUAUACAUAGAAUAAUAAGUCAAAGUAUCUAAUGAAACCCGACUUUAAAUAAUGUUAUUAUUAGUAAAAACAUAUAAAAAAUAUUAGUGAACUCGGCAAUACUUUUUUCUCAGCUGUUUAUCAAAAACAUAGCCUUAUGUUAUGUAACAACAUCUUCAUAUAAGGUUACUUCUGCCCUAUGGCUCAUGCUAAAUGGCCGCAGUACCCUGACUGUGCAAAGGUAGCAUAAUAACUUGGCUUUUAAUUGGAGUCUGGAAUGAAAGAAGACUUUGGGUAAAAUCUUUCCCAAUAUUUUUAUUUUAAAAUUACUUAGUAAGUGAAAAUUCUUACAAAUUAAAUAAUAGACGAGAAGACCCUAAGAGCUCAUAAGAAAAAAAUAAAAGUUUAACGUGAAUUUUAUUUUUGUUAAUUAGUUAUUUCUUGUUUUUGCUGGGGCGGCAAUUUUUUAUAAUCAAAAAUUUAACAAGUUAUACAGGAAGAUAUAAUAGUAAGUAAGAUUAAGCUACCUUAGGGAUAACAGCAUAAUUUACUUUUAAGAUUGUGACCUCGAUGUUGGACUAGGUAAAUUUGUUAACAGAAUUAACAAUUUUCUGUUCUGUUCGAACAUUUUACACCUACAUGAUCUGAGUUCAGACCGGCGUAAGCCAGGUCAGAUUCUAUCUUUAAUUCACUUGGUACCAGAGUACGAAAGGAAAGCGAUUACCACUUUAAUAGUUAAAGAAUCAUU